GAAGAUGAUGAUGUUUUAUCGGUCUUAUGUGCAUUUCUUAAUGCAAUAUGGGGAUUGAUUUAUUUAUCUGAUUC
rfam:Daucus carota subsp. sativus cultivar DH1 chromosome 1, whole genome shotgun sequence.